rnacentral:rRNA from 1 species
UACGAAGGGGGCUAGCGUUGCUCGGAAUCACUGGGCGUAAAGGGUGCGUAGGCGGACAUUUAAGUCAGGGGUGAAAUCCUGAGGCUCAACCUCAGAAUUGCCUUUGAUACUGGGUGUCUCGAGACCGGUAGAGGUGAGUGGAACUGCGAGUGUAGAGGUGAAAUUCGUAGAUAUUCGCAAGAACACCAGUGGCGAAGGCGGCUCACUGGACCGGUUCUGACGCUGAGGCACGAAAGCGUGGGGAGCAGACAGG